rnacentral:rRNA from 1 species
AAUGAACGUUGGCGGCGUGGAUUAGGCAUGCAAGUCGAACGGGCCGCAAGGCCAGUGGCGCAAGGGUGAGUAAGGCGACGGUAACCAACCCCGCAAUUGGGUACAGCCGCGGGAAACCGCGGGUAAUCCCCAGCGACGCGGACGCUCGGCAUCGAGGGUCCGCCAAAGCUCCGGCGUUGGGGGACGGGCUGUCGUGGUAUUAGCUUGUUGGCGGGGUAACGGCCCACCAAGGCGGCGAUGCCUACCGGGCGUGCGAGCGUGGCCCGGCACACUGGGACUGAGACACUGCCCAGACUCCUACGGGAGGCUGUAGUCGAGAAUCUUCGGCAAUGGGCGCAAGCCUGACCGAGCGACGCCGCGUGGAGGACGAAGGCCUUCGGGUUGUAAACUCCUGUCGAGGGGGAAAAAGGCUCCGCAAGGGGCUUGAUUGAUCCCUGGAGGAAGCACGGGCUAAGUUCGUGCCAGCCGCCGCAGUAAUAC